AUUGAACGCUGGCGGCAUGCCUUACACAUGCAAGUCGAACGGCAGCACGGGAGCAAUCCUGGUGGCGAGUGGCGAACGGGUGAGUAAUAUAUCGGAACGUGCCCAGUCGUGGGGGAUAACGUAGCGAAAGCUACGCUAAUACCGCAUACGAUCUACGGAUGAAAGCGGGGGAUCGCAAGACCUCGCGCGAUUGGAGCGGCCGAUAUCAGAUUAGCUAGUUGGUGGGGUAAAAGCUCACCAAGGCGACGAUCUGUAGCUGGUCUGAGAGGACGACCAGCCACACUGGAACUGAGACACGGUCCAGACUCCUACGGGAGGCAGCAGUGGGGAAUUUUGGACAAUGGGCGCAAGCCUGAUCCAGCAAUGCCGCGUGCAGGAUGAAGGCCUUCGGUUGUAACUGCUUUGUACGGAACGAAACGGUGAGCUCUAAUAAAGACUUGCUAAUGACGGUACCGUAAGAAUAAGCACCGGCUAACUACGUGCC
rnacentral:rRNA from 1 species